GAUGAGAGUUUUUGUGGUCAUAGAUGUUUGUUUCUGUCACCUGCAGCAUCCAGGCACUGAAGCUCUGGAAGCCCAGCGAGGACAACUCAGACUCAGGAGACAGAGGACUCUGUAGAAGAGGUGUUCCAGGGCCUGGGUGCCACCAGCCAGCUCCGCUAGAAGAAUGCUGUGAGAACAGGCUGGCACUGAGCUGGAGUGGCCAUCGUCACAAGGUGUGGAAUGCAUCAGUUAAAAUCUCAAGAAACCCCGAGGCAGAGGAUUAAGAGAUACUGAAGAGAAGAUGAGUCUGUGUGCAUUUAUCUGUGCUUAGCCUGCUCCGAAUGGGAACUCAGCUCUCAAAUGAAGGUGUGUGUGGUAUGUGAUGGUGGAAGUAACCAGCAGCCAGGCAAAUGGCAGAGCGUGGCCCUUUUCCACCUCCAUGUGUAAUAAUUGCAGGACUCCCUUCCCAGACAAGACUGCUCACUCCUGCAGAAAAUGACCUUGUUCUUGAGAGCUGCUGCUAAUUUACAGUGAGGCACUAGGUUUCUACCCAGUGCCACGUGAGCAACCAAUCCAUCUACCCAGGGGCACGGCACUGACGAGCAGCAUCAUUUAGAAGGAAAGAAGUAUGGGUGGUGUUUGUUGUUUCCUGUGUGUUAAGGAAAAUCCAGUGAGAACCCAGCAUCCCUGGAUGUUAAGGACAGGGGUGGCAUCUCUCAUUUGCCAUAGCAGUUCUGCAGUAGAGAAGUCCCCGCCAUCUGCAUCAGUUGCGGUGAUGCUGGAAGAGGAGGCUCCAUUCCCUGGACCAUUUUCUGACCCUUCUCUAGGCUCCAAUUCUAUAAGCGCCCAAUCCCCUCUGCCUAAGACAGCUGCAGGUGACAGGUCAGAUGGUGCAGCUACAGAGGUGCGUGCUGUCAAGGCUGAUGCCUUG
rnacentral:lncRNA from 1 species